UACGUAGGGUGCGAGCGUUAAUCGGAAUUACUGGGCGUAAAGCGUGCGUAGGCGGUUCGUUAUGUCUGCUGUGAAAUCCCCGGGCUCAACCUGGGAAUGGCAGUGGAAACUGGCGGGCUUGAGUGUGGCAGGAGGGGGGUGGAAUUCCGCGUGUAGCAGUGAAAUGCGUAGAGAUGCGGAGGAACACCGAUGGCGAAGGCAGCCCCCUGGGCUAACACUGACGCUGAGGCACGAAAGCGUGGGGAGCAAACAGG
rnacentral:rRNA from 1 species